rnacentral:lncRNA from 1 species
CGUGGGGCGGGGCAGUAGGUGCCAACCUCCUAAUCACCGGGUUGGUUCCCGUGGCAACUAGCCCCGCCCCUUGGGGGGUUUCCAAAAGUCACCUCAUUAACCUAAACUCAGUGGUGGUUGAAAGGGGCUUGUUACGAAUAACAAAAAGCGCCCCCUUUCACCUAUAUUCCACUUACCGAUUAGGAAAUUGCUGUUUGCAAACUGGCCUGGUGCUGGAGGUCCCGGCCUGGGGUAGGGGGUGCAAGGAGAUACGAGAAAAAAAGGCCACCGCCCCAGAUAUGUCUGCCACCUAAUGAUGAGCUGGGGAACAUAAUCAUCUCUGUUAUCUCUCUAUCUCCAGUGGUUUCCACAGUGCUUGUCACAUGGUAGGUGCUUGGUAAUUGCAUUUGGUGACAAUGAUACAAAAACAAUUAAGACAUAACUGUUGUCCUCAAAGAGUGAGUAGAAAUAAUUAAUGCAAUCAGAUAGUGUCUGUAACAGAUACAUGUGGAAAGUUCUAUGGACAUAUAGGAAGAGUGAUUAAAUCUCAAUGGGACUUUGCCCAUGUAAAGAGAAAUCAGAGGUAUCUCCAGAUAAAUAUAUAUCUUUUAAACAAAUUUUUGCAGUUUGUGUAGAAAUUAG